rnacentral:rRNA from 1 species
GUCUACGGCCAUACCACCCUGAACGCACCCGAUCUCGUCUGAUCUCAGAAGCUACAGGGUCGGGCCUGGUUGGUACUUGGAUGGGAGAAAAUAGCCAAUUUUUGAAAGAAACUCGUGCAAUGAAGAGU